UGGGGGAGACACUUCGCUGAACCCAGCAAGGAAGAUAAAGAGUCAAAGACAGUCACCCAACAUCAAAAUAGGAGAAAAGCUGCCACAGCCCUGGCAGUUCUCAAAGCCACCCUGGAAGCUCUGUAGGAGAACUUAACCAGCUGUUUCCACACUGCAAGAUUCACUGUGCUUCCAUUCAGUAGACCAAAUGGUCAUCCUUACCAAAGCUGGGCCUUCAGCAGGAUCGCGAAAUGGGAACACAUGAAAGGAAGCCAG